GUGAGGAAUUUUCCGCAAUGGGCGAAAGCCUGACGGAGCAAUGCCGCGUGAAGGAUGAAUGCCUAUGGGUUGUAAACUUCUUUUCUCAGAAAAGAAUUAUGACGGUAUCUGAGGAAUAAGCAUCGGCUAACUCUGUGCCAGCAGCCGCGGUAAGACAGAGGAUGCAAGCGUUAUCCGGAAUGAUUGGGCGUAAAGCGUCUGUAGGUUGUUUAAAAAGUAUUCUGUCAAAGAUUAGGGCUUAACCCUAGAUAGGAAGAAUAAACUUUUAAGCUAGAGUUUGGUAGAGGCAGAGGGAAUUCCCGGUGGAGCGGUGAAAUGCGUAGAUAUCGGGAGGAACACCAAAGGCGAAGGCACUCUGCUGGGCCAAUACUAACACUGAGAGACGAAAGCGAGGGGAGCAAAUGGGAUUAGAAACCCCAGUAGUCC
rnacentral:rRNA from 1 species